GUGGAAGGGGGCUUGCUCCCGAUCGCGGUGGGUCGGCCAGCUGUUUUUUCACUGAUGCUCCGCUAUCGGGAGCAAGCCCCCUCCCAC
rnacentral:misc_RNA from 1 species